rnacentral:rRNA from 1 species
CCUACGGGUGGCAGCAGUAGGGAAUCUUUCACAAUGGGCGAAAGCCUGAUGGCGCAACGCCGCGUGCAGGAUGAAGGCCUUCGGGUUGUAAACUGCUUUUAUAAGCGAGAAAUAUGAUGGUAACUUAUGAAUAAGGAUCGGCUAACUACGUGCCAGCAGCCGUGGUCAUACGUAGGAUCCGAGCAUUAUCCGGAGUGACUGGGUGUAAAGAGUUGCGUAGGUGGCAUAAUAAGUAGCUAGUGAAAUCUGGUGGCUCAACCAUUCAGACUAUUAGCUAAACUGUUAAGCUCGAGACCGUUAGGGGUAACUGGAAUGUCUAGUGUAGGAGUGAAAUCCGUAGAUAUUAGAAGGAACACCAAUAGCGUAGGCAGGUUGCUGGGACGGUUCUGACACUAAGGCACGAAAGCGUAGGGAGCAAACGGGAUUAGAUACCCCUGUAGUC